AAAUAGAUUAAGCCGGAUGCAUGCUCU
rnacentral:piRNA from 1 species